GACGUAGGGUGCGAGCGUUGUCCGGAUUUAUUGGGCGUAAAGAGCUCGUAGGCGGCUCAUCGCGUCGACCGUGAAAACCCGCAGCUUAACUGCGGGCCUGCGGUGGAUACGGGCUGGCUAGAGGUAGGUAGGGGCAAGCGGAAUUCCUGGUGUAGCGGUGAAAUGCGCAGAUAUCAGGAGGAACACCAAUUGCGAAGGCAGCUCGCUGGGACGUUACUGACGCUGAGACGCGAAAGCGUGGGGAGCAAACAGG
rnacentral:rRNA from 1 species